rnacentral:rRNA from 1 species
GAUGAACGCUGGCGGCGUGCCUAAUACAUGCAAGUCGAGCGAACGGACGAGAAGCUUGCUUCUCUGAUGUUAGCGGCGGACGGGUGAGUAACACGUGGAUAACCUACCUAUAAGACUGGGAUAACUUCGGGAAACCGGAGCUAAUACCGGAUGAUAUUUUGAACCGCAUGGUUCAAAAGUGAAAGACGGUCUUGCUGUCACUUAUAGAUGGAUCCGCGCUGCAUUAGCUAGUUGGUAAGGUAACGGCUUACCAAGGCAACGAUGCAUAGCCGACCUGAGAGGGUGAUCGGCCAGACUGGAACUGAGACACGGUCCAGACUCCUACGGGAGGCAGCAGUAGGGAAUCUUCCGCAAUGGGCGAAAGCCUGACGGAGCAACGCCGCGUGAGUGAUGAAGGUCUUCGGAUCGUAAAGCUCUGUUAUUAGGGAAGAACAUAUGUGUAAGUAACUGGGCACAUCUUGACGGUACCUAAUCAGAAAGCCACGGCUAACUACGUG